GUUUUAGUUCAGAUCUAAUGAGACUGGACCCAAUUAUAAACUUGUUUAUGGUAGCUGAUAAGCUACAUAGAAAAGAUGGCUUCAAAGAGGCUGCUCUACAAGUUAUGGGAAGCAGCAUUAGAAUGAGAACGUGAAAUGGGGAGGGACUUAUCUGCCUUGGGUGCUUAGAGUUACAAAUAAAAGAAAAGAAAGGUGGCAGAUUUCCAUUUCAAGGAGCACUGCAAGGAAAAGAGCAAUGGACUUGAAGAAAUAUGGACUGAAGUGGUGCCAACUUUGCUAUUGCAUUCAAGAGUGUUAUGUGAAAGGGAGCAAUGAAGCAGCCGCAUAUGGGUCAAGGGCCAUCAAAAGGGACUUCAGAGCCUUGGGAUGACAGCUGAAGUAAUUGAAUGCACAGGUCAUCUUUUCUUCUCUGCCUCCUAUAUUGGGUCACACAGUCCUCAAAUGAUUGAUUUGGAAGGAGGGAACUGGGGAAACAACGUCCCUCCCACUAUAACCAAAGAUCAGGUUGAUGACCACGUGAAGAACCUGAACAUCCAGAAGUCUAUGAGUCCCAAUGAGAUGUAUCCCAGAGUCUUGAGGGAAUUGGCUGAUGUACUCACCAAGCCACUCUCAGUGAUAUUUGAAAAGUCAUGACAGUGAGGUGAAGUCCCUGGUGACUGGAAAAAAGGCAACAUCACAUUCGUUUUUGAGAAGGGUGAAAAAUAUGAUCCUGGGAACUACCAACCUGUCAAUCUCACCUGUGUGCCAGAAAAAAAUCAUGAAGCAGAUCCUCUUGGAAGCUAUUCUAAGGCACAUGGAAGACAGAGAUGAUACGACAGAACCAGCAUGGCUUCACCAAAGGCAAAUAUUGCUUGAACAACCUAAUGUCCUUUUAUGAUUUUGUCACUGCAUCAACAGACAAGGGAAGAGCCAUUGAAGUCAUCUACCUGAACUUCAGUAAGGCUUUUGACACAGUAGCUCACAACAUCCUUCUCUCCAAACUGGAAAGCUAUGGAUUUGAUGGGUGGACUGUUUGAUGGGCAAAGAACUGGCUGCAGGGUCUAAUCCAGAGUGGUGGUUGAUAGCUCCAUGUCAGAAUGGAGAUCAGUGAUGAAUGGUGCCCCCAGGUGCUAGGAAGGAAACUCUUUAAUAUCUUCAUCAGUUACUUCAACAGAGGGUUCAUGUGCACCCUCAGCAAGUUUGUGGAUGACACAAAGGUGUGGAGCAUGGACAACACACCUGAGGGUUGGGAUGCCAUUCACAGGGAUCUAGACAGGCUUGAGCAGUGGGCCCAGAAGAACCUCAUGAGUCUUGCAUCUGGGUCAAAGCAACCUCCACUUACCAGUACAAGCUGGGGGUGAAAAGACUGAGCACACACUGACAGGUUGAGGGACGUGAUCCUGACCCUCUGCUCUGAGCUGAUGAGGUCUCACCUGGAGAAUUGCAUUCAUAUGUGGAGUCCUCAGUACAGGAGAGACAUGGAUCUGUUGGAGUGUGUCCAGAGGAGGGAUACAAAAAUGGUCCAAGAGAUAGAACACCUCUCCUGUGAGGACAGGCUGAAAGAGCUGGGCUCUUCAGCCUGGAGAAGAGAAGGCUCUGAGGUGACCUGAUAGUGAGUGGCCUUUCAAUAUCUUAAGGGGAGUUAUACAAAAGAAGAGGACAGACUCUUUAUCAGGGUCUGUUGUGACAAUGAUAAGGGGAAAUAAUUACAAACUUAAAGAGGAUAGAUUUUAGAUUGGAUACAAGAAAAAAGUCUUUUACAUGGAGUGGGGCGGGGAACUGGAACAUGUUGCCCAGAGACCUGGUGGAUGCUCUGUCUCUGGAGGCUUUCAAGGCUAAACUUGACCGGGCUCUGAGCAACCUGAUCUAGCUAUGGGUGUCUGCUCAUUGCAGGGGAGUUGGGCUUGGUACCUUUAAAGAUUCCUUCCAUCUCCAAAGAUUUUAUAAUUCUAUGAUUCUAUAAAUCUUUCACAUCUUCAUGUAUUUGGUGCCUCAGAUAACCACCAGUUUAAUAUUGCAUGUACAGUCACUUUAGUUACCUGUUUCUCAAGUACAUCCUAUGGGACUAACAGACAGCAAUAUAACAGGAAAAAGAAAUAAAUGUUUGAAACUCCAAUGACAAGCUACUCUGCAGAGCCUGGGAUGUGAUAACACAAGUCUUUUACUUGAGUUUGUUAACAAGUUUUAUAACAUUUAAUAGUUCACUGUAACAUCACCCAGAAUUCUAUGAUACAGUUAAAACAGACUGUAUGUAACACACAGCAUUCUCUAUUAGGCUCUGCAAGUUUGUAGAGUGGAUUCUAAAGAAUUCUCAUAAAAUUGUCGUAGAUUGCCCUUUGUCGCUUUUAACUCCAUUAAAUUAAAUGUAAAUGCCCAAAAACACUCUUCCUUCAUAUCUUCAUCCCUUUCCUUUGAUGGCUUUGUUGAAUUUCAACUUCACAGAACUCUCUUCACAUCAAAAUGAGUCUCUGUGAAACAGAGCAAAAUAUCCAGAAUAUCUACUUUCCCUGACAUGCAACAGUCUAGCCACAGAAGUGACAAGUUUAAGUAUGAAGAGUCUGUGGUGAUAAGAAUGAGACAUAAAUUUUAAUAAUUCCUUUGAGAGAUGUUUCAUGUCUACAAAUGCUGGUGAGCAUAGUAAAAAUCUAUAACUUGUAAAUUUUUUAAAUUCACACUUUUGAGGGUAAGUGGGCAAUCAUACACAUGGUCCUGUGCAACUCCUGAAGGACAGCAUGGACUAUGACUAAUUAUAUGUGUAAGAAUGUUGACAAACAAUGUCUUGAGGAAAACAGAAGCAGGAAAAGAUCUAUAGUUUUUAACUUAAAUACCAGGAAGAAAAUGACUCUUGAAUCUUGCUUAUGAGUAGUUAGGGAAACAGCCAUCUUUCUUCUAUUGUCUGAUCUAAACUAAGCCAUCUAAUGCAGAUUAAAAUAAUUUAAUGAAACCUGAAAGCCCUUUCACAAGCAAAGAUACAAACUGCUCCAGUGUCUCACCACUCUCACAGUAAAGAAUUUCCUCUUAAUAUCUAGUCUAAACCUACCCUUUUCCAGUUUUAAACCAUUUUACCUUGUCCUUUCGCUACGUACUCUUAUAAAUAUAAAAGUCCCUCCCUGGGUUUCCUGUAGGCCCCCUUCAGGGACAGGAAUUCAAUUUUCAUCUAUCUAAAUCACUCACAUUUUUCAUAAUAUUCUCUUACGGUUUCAUUCUGAAGAAAAUGUUUUUCAAGAAAUAAACAAAUUAUUUUGUUAUCAGAAGUAAGAAAGUAAUCUAGUAACUGAUUCAUGCUGUUCUUUACAUUUAUAAUCAAAAGGAAUUAAAGAGUUGGUACAGAAAGAAACUCUCUUUGAAAUUAAAAAUAGAACUAAAAUGGAAAGAAAGCACCAACAAUCUUGUUUUAAAUUGAACACCAAGUCCUGGUGGAACUGCAAGAACUGCAACCACUGUGACUAGAAAGGUCACUACGCAUAACAAAUGCACAGGCUUGCUGCAACAAGCAGCACUGUAGUUGCAGAAUUAUGUACAUACACAUACACAUACACA
ensembl:lncRNA